GGUUAAGCGACUAAGCGUACACGGUGGAUGCCCUGGCAGUCAGAGGCGAUGAAGGACGUGCUAAUCUGCGAUAAGCGUCGGUAAGGUGAUAUGAACCGUUAUAACCGGCGAUUUCCGAAUGGGGAAACCCAGUGUGUUUCGACACACUAUCAUUACGUGAAUACAUAGCGUAAUGAAGCGAACCGGGGGAACUGAAACAUCUAAGUACCCCGAGGAAAAGAAAUCAACCGAGAUUCCCCCAGUAGCGGCGAGCGAACGGGGAGCAGCCCAGAGUCUGAAUCAGCUUGUGUGUUAGUGGAACGGUCUGGAAAGUCCGACGGUACAGGGUGAUAGUCCCGUACACCAAAAUGCACAGGUUGUGAACUCGAAGAGUAGGGCGGGACACGUGGUAUCCUGUCUGAAUAUGGGGGGACCAUCCUCCAAGGCUAAAUACUCCUGACUGACCGAUAGUGAACCAGUACCGUGAGGGAAAGGCGAAAAGAACCCCGGCGAGGGGAGUGAAAAAGAACCUGAAACCGUGUACGUACAAGCAGUGGGAGCCUCUUUAUGGGGUGACUGCGUACCUUUUGUAUAAUGGGUCAGCGACUUAUAUUCUGUAGCAAGGUUAACCGUAUAGGGGAGCCGAAGGGAAACCGAGUCUUAACUGGGCGUUAAGUUGCAGGGUAUAGACCCGAAACCCGGUGAUCUAGCCAUGGGCAGGUUGAAGGUUGGGUAACACUAACUGGAGGACCGAACCGACUAAUGUUGAAAAAUUAGCGGAUGACUUGUGGCUGGGGGUGAAAGGCCAAUCAAACCGGGAGAUAGCUGGUUCUCCCCGAAAGCUAUUUAGGUAGCGCCUCGUGAAUUCAUCUUCGGGGGUAGAGCACUGUUUCGGCUAGGGGGUCAUCCCGACUUACCAACCCGAUGCAAACUGCGAAUACCGAAGAAUGUUAUCACGGGAGACACACGGCGGGUGCUAACGUCCGUCGUGAAGAGGGAAACAACCCAGACCGCCAGCUAAGGUCCCAAAGUCAUGGUUAAGUGGGAAACGAUGUGGGAAGGCACAGACAGCCAGGAUGUUGGCUUAGAAGCAGCCAUCAUUUAAAGAAAGCGUAAUAGCUCACUGGUCGAGUCGGCCUGCGCGGAAGAUGUAACGGGGCUAAACCAUGCACCGAAGCUGCGGCAGCGACACUAUGUGUUGUUGGGUAGGGGAGCGUUCUGUAAGCCGUUGAAGGUGUAUCGUGAGGUAUGCUGGAGGUAUCAGAAGUGCGAAUGCUGACAUAAGUAACGAUAAUGCGGGUGAAAAACCCGCACGCCGGAAGACCAAGGGUUCCUGUCCAACGUUAAUCGGGGCAGGGUGAGUCGACCCCUAAGGCGAGGCCGAAAGGCGUAGUCGAUGGGAAACAGGUUAAUAUUCCUGUACUUGGUGUUACUGCGAAGGGGGGACGGAGAAGGCUAUGUUAGCCGGGCGACGGUUGUCCCGGUUUAAGCAUGUAGGCGGAGGUUCCAGGUAAAUCCGGUACCUUUUAACGCUGAGGUGUGAUGACGAGGCACUACGGUGCUGAAGUAACAAAUGCCCUGCUUCCAGGAAAAGCCUCUAAGCAUCAGGUAACACGAAAUCGUACCCCAAACCGACACAGGUGGUCAGGUAGAGAAUACCAAGGCGCUUGAGAGAACUCGGGUGAAGGAACUAGGCAAAAUGGUGCCGUAACUUCGGGAGAAGGCACGCUGAUAUGUAGGUGAAGUGAUUUACUCAUGGAGCUGAAAUCAGUCGAAGAUACCAGCUGGCUGCAACUGUUUAUUAAAAACACAGCACUGUGCAAACACGAAAGUGGACGUAUACGGUGUGACGCCUGCCCGGUGCCGGAAGGUUAAUUGAUGGGGUUAUCCGUAAGGAGAAGCUCUUGAUCGAAGCCCCGGUAAACGGCGGCCGUAACUAUAACGGUCCUAAGGUAGCGAAAUUCCUUGUCGGGUAAGUUCCGACCUGCACGAAUGGCGUAAUGAUGGCCAGGCUGUCUCCACCCGAGACUCAGUGAAAUUGAACUCGCUGUGAAGAUGCAGUGUACCCGCGGCAAGACGGAAAGACCCCGUGAACCUUUACUAUAGCUUGACACUGAACACUGGUCCUUGAUGUGUAGGAUAGGUGGGAGGCUUUGAAGUGUGGACGCCAGUCUGCAUGGAGCCAUCCUUGAAAUACCACCCUUUAAUGGCUGGUGUUCUAACGUGGACCCGUAAUCCGGGUUGCGGACAGUGUCUGGUGGGUAGUUUGACUGGGGCGGUCUCCUCCUAAAGAGUAACGGAGGAGCACGAAGGUUAGCUAAUCCUGGUCGGACAUCAGGAGGUUAGUGCAAAGGCAUAAGCUAGCUUGACUGCGAGAGUGACGGCUCGAGCAGGUGCGAAAGCAGGUCUUAGUGAUCCGGUGGUUCUGAAUGGAAGGGCCAUCGCUCAACGGAUAAAAGGUACUCCGGGGAUAACAGGCUGAUACCGCCCAAGAGUUCAUAUCGACGGCGGUGUUUGGCACCUCGAUGUCGGCUCAUCACAUCCUGGGGCUGAAGUAGGUCCCAAGGGUAUGGCUGUUCGCCAUUUAAAGUGGUACGCGAGCUGGGUUUAGAACGUCGUGAGACAGUUCGGUCCCUAUCUGCCGUGGGCGCUGGAGAAUUGAGGGGGGCUGCUCCUAGUACGAGAGGACCGGAGUGGACGCAUCACUGGUGUUCGGGUUGUCAUGCCAAUGGCAUUGCCCGGUAGCUAAAUGCGGAAGAGAUAAGUGCUGAAAGCAUCUAAGCACGAAACUUGCCCCGAGAUGAGUUCUCCCUGAGACUAUAAGUCUCCUGAAGGAACGUUAAAGACGAUGACGUUGAUAGGUCGGGUGUGUAAGCGUAGCGAUACGUUGAGCUAACCGAUACUAAUGAACCGUGAGGCUUAACCUU
rnacentral:rRNA from 1 species